UACGAAGGGGGCUAGCGUUGUUCGGAAUUACUGGGCGUAAAGCGCGCGCAGGCGGCUAUCCAAGUCAGUGGUGAAAGCCCGGAGCUCAACUCCGGAACUGCCAUUGAGACUGUUUAGCUUGAGGAUGAGAGAGGUGAGUGGAAUUCCCAGUGUAGAGGUGAAAUUCGUAGAUAUUGGGAAGAACACCGGUGGCGAAGGCGGUUCUCUGGGCCUUACCUGACGCUGAGGAGCGAAAGCGUGGGGAGCAAACAGG
rnacentral:rRNA from 1 species